CUCUGUUUGAAGGUAUAAAGAGUAUAACCUGCUCACUGAUAAAAGUUUAAGAGCCGCAGUAUUUUGACUGUGCAAAGGUAGCAUAAUCGUUUGUUUUUUAAUUGGAAUCUUGUAUGAAUGGUUGGACAAGAGAAAAACUGUCUUUAUAAGAAAAAUUGAAUUUAACUUUUAGAUGAAAAGGUCUAAAUAAAUUAAAGGGACGAUAAGACCCUAUAAAGCUUAAUAUAAAAAGUUAGUUAAUUAAAUUUUAUUAAAAUAAAAAUGAAUUAAUUUAAUAUAUUUUGUUGGGGCGACAGAGGUAAAAUUAUUAUUAACUACUUAAAUAAGAUUCAAAUAUAAGUGUAAUUUUAAAAGAUCCUAGUUAAAGAUUUAAAGUUUAAGUUACUUUAGGGAUAACAGCGUUAUUUUUUUUGAGAGUACUUAUCGAGAAAAAAGUUUGCGACCUCGAUGUUGAAUUAAAAUAUCUUUAUAGUUGCAGAAGUUAUAAAAGAAGGUCUGUUCGACCUUUAAAUUUUUACAUGAUUUGAGUUCAGACCGGCGUGAG
rnacentral:rRNA from 1 species